UGUUGGGUGGCCGAUUAGGUGAAGGCCUUUUAAGCCUUUUAAGGACUAGGGUCCUCCAACUG
rnacentral:tRNA from 1 species